GGCAGCCGCGGUAAUUCCAGCUCCAAUAGCGUAUAUUAAAGUUGUUGCAGUUAAAAAGCUCGUAGUUGAAUUUCGGGAUUGACACAUCGGUCGUGCCUUAAGGGGUAUGAACUGGUGUAGUCAAUUUCUCACCUUCUGGAGAACCGCGAUGCCCUUAAUUGGGUGUCGCGGGGAACCAGGACCUUUACUUUGAAAAAAUUAGAGUGUUUAAAGCAGGCAUUUUGCUUGAAUACAUUAGCAUGGAAUAAUAAAAUAGGACGGCAUGAUUCUAUUUUGUUGGUUUCUAGGAUCACCGUAAUGAUUAAUAGGGAUAGUUGGGGGCAUUAGUAUUCAAUUGUCAGAGGUGAAAUUCUUGGAUUUAUUGAAGACUAACUACUGCGAAAGCAUUUGCCAAGGAUGUUUUCAUUAAUCAAGAACGAAAGUUAGGGGAUCGAAGACGAUCAGAUACCGUCGUAGUCUUAACCAUAAACUAUGCCGACUAGGGAUCGGAUGAUGUUAUUUUUAAUGACUCAUUCGGCGC
rnacentral:rRNA from 1 species